rnacentral:lncRNA from 1 species
UGCAGGCACACGCUACCUCUCACUUGAAGACAAGAAGUACAUAAGAUGCUACAGGCACAAGAUGCCAUAGGCACAUGAUGCCUCUCAUGAGGGCUAACUAACCAAACCCUCAAAACACUAUCGAGGAGAGCACAAGAUGCCACAGACACACGCUGCCUCUUGUAUGAAAAUGAGAAAUACACAAGAUGCUACAGGCACAAGAUGCCAUAGGCACAUGAUGUCUCUCAUAAGGGCUAACUAACAGGACCCUCAGAACAC